AUGGGUUCAGCUGAGGAUGAGUUCACCCCACUGUCUCAGUUAAAGUAUGGAAUGGACAAGUGCAAAGUGCAGGUGCGCAUCUCGUGGCUGUGGGAGUCCUUCAAUCCAAAAAAUGACACUUUGUUCGGCCUUGACUGCCUUCUGAUCGACGAUCAGGGUAAGACUAUGCAGGCGCGUGUAGAACCCGGUGAUAUAGAGCGGUUUGAACAUAAGCUAGUUGAAGGGCAGGUCUAUGCCUUGUCAGAUUUUCAUGUUGAUGUGCAGAGGGACUACUAUAUGUCAUGUAGCAAUGAGUGGACUAUGUACAUUAGAAGGCAGACGGUGGUCACUGAGAUAGAAGGAGAUAUUGAUUCGAUUCCCCUCUACAGCUUUAAAAAGGGCAACCUGGUGCAUGUAGCUCCCGCUUGCGCAGGGUCCAGGGAAGGGUCCGACCACUUUGGGUCUAUAGUACGCAGCCUUUCCCUACAUUUCUGUAAGAGGCUGUUUCCAGGACUUGAACCCAUGACCUCAUGGUCACAAGGCAGCAGCUUUACCACUGCGCCAAGGCUCCCCUUCAGCUUUGAGUUUGUUAAUUUUAAGGAUCUCCGUUCUAGGUGUGGUGACAACAGCUUAUUGACAGAUGUUCUGGGACACGUAGUAGGUGUCGGGGAGCUACAGGAGGUCACAAAAAGAUCCCGUGUUAUAGAAAUUUGCAAUGCAAGCAUUCGGGACUUGAGAGGAAAGGUACUGGGUGUCACACUGUAUGGUGAUAUUGCUUCUGGUUUUGCUGAGGAUAUGGCCGAGAAAGGCAAAGACGCCUCGGUUGUUGCUGUCUUUGCAGGGAUGUCUGUUGAUUCCUCAUCAUCAGUUUGCUCUACAACGUCUUCAGAGUACUAUUUGGAUUUGGAAAUACCAGAGGUGCAAGAAUUCCGUGCGAAUUUGCGCAUUCAGCAAGCAAACCCUGUUCCCAAAAAAACCCCAGCUCAGAAGUUAGCCGAGAGUUGGCGAACAAUAGAACAGCUAAAAAAACUUGAUCCGGAAGAGUAUGACGAGGAUACCACGUUUUUGUGCAGAGUCUCCCUGAUAGACAUAGAUUGCAGCAACGGUUGGUGCUAUCUUGGAUGCGACACCUGCCAGAAGUCCAUGUACGGGGCCCCAAGGAAAUACAAGUGCGCCCGAUGUGGCCCGAUCAAGAGGCCAGUUCAGUGGUACAAGCUGAAGGCGAAGGUGGAAGACGCCACAGGCACAAUGGACCUGAUGAUCUUCUGCGAGGUGGCGGAGGAGCUGGUCGGUGUCUCUGCAGAGGAGCUUGUCGAUAACAUUGAGGAAGACGACGAGUGGUACGCCCUGCCAGACGAAAUCGAGGAUCUUCUUGGCUCGACGCACACCUUCCAGGUUUUCGACAAGUACGUGAAUGGGAGCUUCGCGGUGAGGUCGAUCAUGGACGAUGCUAGCGUCCCAGCCCCAGCUGCAGCCGCUAGCCAAUGCAAGGAGAAGGCUGACCCUGAGGGGAGCCAGAAGCCUAGCAAGCGCCUGCGAGGGGAUGACGACUCGAUCAACUAG
rnacentral:rRNA from 1 species